rnacentral:rRNA from 1 species
GUGCAAAGGUAGCAUAAUCAUUAGUUUUUUAAUUGAAAACUUGUAUGAAAGGUUGAACAAAAGAAGUUCUGUCUCUAUUUUUAAUAUUGAAUUUAACUUUUAAGUGAAAAGGCUUAAAUUUUUUAAGGGGACGAUAAGACCCUAUAAAGCUUUAUAAAAAAUAUAAUAAUUUUUAAAAAUAAUUUGUAUUUUGGAAUAUAUUUGUUUUUUAUUUUGUUGGGGCGAUUCGGAUAAAAUUAUAAUUAACUGUCAGUAUAAAACACAUAGAUUUAUGUAAAUUUAAAUGAUCCUAGUUAAAGAUUAAAAGACAAAGUUACUUUAGGGAUAACAGCGUUAUUUCUUUUAAGAGUUCUUAUUGAAAAAGAAGUUUGCGACCUCGAUGUUGAAUUAAAAUAUCUUUACAGUGCAGCCGUUGUAGGAAGAGGGUCU